CCUACAUAAAACAUUUGAAUCUUUGGCUUAGAGAGACUGGGAAUAAAUACUUAAGCAUGACAUUACUACCUGUGCUGCCUUAUAAACUGUUGGAAGAAUUUAGGAACAAAUGAGUUUUUGUGAAAAAGCAUUUGAAGAUCUCCCUUUCUAUUUGAAAAAGUACAAGAGUUUAGAUGGACAAAUCAUUUUCCAUAUGUGCUCUUGCAUAAUCUCUAAGGAUAAUCAGAGUUACUCUAAUAGAGUCAUAAAUAGAAUUAAGUCAGUACUUAUUACACUGACAUAUUAUGCUUAUUAUAAUGUAGGCUAUCCUGUAACUAGCUCUGUUGUACAUGGAUUAAAAAUCUUUUUCUAUAAAAAUCCAAAAGGAAGUUGGAAUUCACAAUGAAAAACAAAGUCUGGGUCCUAAUAAAUCUUCAUUAAUAAACAUUCAGGUAAGUAAGAAAGAUGAAAUCUACUUAAGUAGAAAAAAUCUGAAAGCAGUUUAUUAAUGGUAUUGACCUGGCUCUUUUGGAAGAUACAUAUUCAAUUAGAAAAAAACAAAACAAAGUAAAACAUCUCAUCUUGUGGAGAAUUUAAUGAUAUGCAAUUUAGCUCCUAAAUCUAGAUUUUAUUCCAAACUGAAAAGAUUUUAUUACCAACUUUAUUUUGCUAUAAAAUAUUUAUGAGAAGCCCCAAAAGUUUAAAUGCUGUGUUUGAGUUUUCCAGUUUUCUUAAAUUCAAGAAGAGAAAGUAAUACAUAAUAGACAAAUGAUCCUGAUAACGUUACAUAUUACUAUGUAACUAAAAUAAUUGUCACCAUUUUUGUUUUCAAUUAUGAUAGCCUCUCACUUAGAUUCAAAUGCUAUUUUGCCUUUUAAUGUUUGUGCUGAAAUGAUUCACAAAUAGAGUUCUAAAAAGUAAUUUCUUUCAUUAACCAAUAAUUCUUAUUCCAUAAAAAAUUGUUUGUUUUGGAUAAAUUUUUUUUCAAAACUAUUGUGGAAUUAUAUAACUUCAUUAAAACCUACAUUAACUUCAAAAUUUUAGCUAGUGUAACUUUAAAGUGUUUAAUUGCUUGCAAUACCCAAAAGAUUUAGAUGGAAAAAUAAAGCCUUUUUUGAUAUGGUGUGGGGUUUUUUGUGUAAUUAAUGUUUAUAAAUUCACCCCCUAAAAGUUGUUUUAUAUAUAUAUAUAUAUAUUAAUCAAAGGUUUCUUGAUUCUGAUAGUAGUAUAGCUCAUUUUUCUAUUUUUUUCCUUUCUUACCCUUACUAAUGAAACUGGUAAUAGUUUUGGACCCCAUGCCAUUUUGUCAUGUAGUUACAACUUGUCCUUUUAUAAAAGAAAAUUAAAAACGGCUGAGUGUUAUAGAUAUUAAUGGUUGUUAGAAAAGUAUAAUAAAAGGCUCUCUUUCUGGAGCGUUGCUGAGCUUUUAUGUCAUUAUUCAUGAAUGACUAAUGCAUUCAAAGGAGAAGAGUGCUGAUCUCUAAGGCUAGGAUGAUGGACAGUGGAGAGGGAAAGAGUGGCUGACAGAAGGCCAUUUGUCAUAUGUGAAGAUCUAAUAACAGGCUUGUCUACAUUGAGAUAUUUCAGCUGAACUUAGAAAAAGAAACCUUUAUUACAUGUGAGGUUA
rnacentral:lncRNA from 1 species